CCUGCUCCGCUUCUGUGACUUUUUAAAUUGAAUGUGAUCAUUAACUUUUACCCAUGAAUAUAAAAAUGGAGCAGUUUUUCAACUACUCAUGAAAGAUUAUCCAUGAACGCUAAGAUUAUUUAAUUUUUCAUGGAGCGUAGAAUUCUGUGAAUCACUUCAUACAUAGGCUACUUAGUCAAAAGUCAAAUCUGUAAUUUCAUUUUCAAAUUUAAUUCUCUCUGGUUGCUAAAUCUUUACCUAGGUUGUGAGGGAACAUUUCAGAUAAUACAAGAUUCGGUGAAGAAAAAAUAUUAGUAUUUCUUCUGAGAAUUUUUCUUAAUGAAUUGUAAGUUACUGACCUUUCAAAAUAGAGAAAUUUAUGUUAUUUAAAAAUUUUUUUUUGUAAAAUUUUAUUUCUCUUCUUUCUUAAAAAAUACGUAAAAUAGGUUGGGCGUGAUGGCUCACACCUGUAAUCCAGGCACUUUGGGAGGCCAAGGUGGGCAGAUCACGAGGUCAAGAGAUCGAGACCACUCUGGCUAACAUGGUGAAACCCCAUCUUUACUGAAAAUACAAAAAGCCAGCUGUGGUGGCAUGCACCUGUAAUUCCAGCUACUCAGGAGGCUAAGGCAGGAGAAUCACUUCAACUUGGAGGCGGAGGAUCUUGCCACUGCACUCAUGAACUACAGAGAAAGCACCAGCUCUACUCCUUGAAGAAUAAAGCAUUGCAAAUUGCAGAAAUGAGAGUUGAAAUCAAAUGAUUGAAGUGAAUCCUAUUUUGAUCACUUUUUAGCUAAAUUGAAGAAUUCAGUAAGUAUUCAGAUCUCAGUUAACAUGUAGGAAAAAAACAAGUGUCUUUCUUUUAGAUUUGCAGAAUGGUUUAGAAAUGUAAUGUUUAAAUCUGUGUAUGAUGCUAGCCACAAAAUCUGCUAUCAGAAAAUAUGUUUCCUUUUUUUGUUUAGUGAUAACAAAAGAA
rnacentral:lncRNA from 1 species